rnacentral:snRNA from 1 species
UGCUAGGUGCUCGGGCUUUACGCUUACCAGUGAAGAUUCGUCUGAGGUAGCGUUUUUGCUAGUUGAAAACUACAACUAUGACUGCUCCAGUUGGCCUUCGGGUCGGCUGGGAAUUUUUGAAACCUUUACACUUUUUUGUGCUUUUCGUUGAUUUUUGCGGCCUUGAGCUGCAUGAUCGAAGAAG